UGUCUCUAUACUGCGGCCUUGUGCGACUA
rnacentral:sRNA from 1 species